rnacentral:rRNA from 1 species
AACGAACGCUGGCGGCAUGGAUUAGGCAUGCAAGUCGAACGAAGUAGCAAUACUUAGUGGCGCAAGGGUGAGGAACGCGUGAGUGACCUACCCGCAAGUUUGGAACAGCUCCUGGAAACGGGAAUUAAUACCGGAUGUGAUCAACGGGCUGCAUGGUUUGUUGAUUAAAGCAGUAAUGCGCUUGCGGAUGGGCUCGCGUCCCAUUAGCUAGUUGGUGAGGUAACGGCCCACCAAGGCCAUGAUGGGUAGCUGGUCUGAGAGGACGACCAGCCACACUGGGACUGAGAACUGCCCAGACUCCUACGGGAGGCUGCAGUCGAGAAUUUUGGGCAAUGGACGAAAGUCUGACCCAGCAAUGCCGCGUGCGGGAUGAAGGUCUUCGGAUUGUAAACCGCUGUUUGGAGGGACGAAAAUUGACGGUACUUCCAGAGAAAGCCACGGCUAACUACGUGCCAGCAGCCGC